UUCCGGUUGAUCCUGCCGGACCCGACUGCUAUUUGGGUGAGGAUAAGCCAUGCGAGUUGAAUGGGAAACCUAAAAAUCCCAUGGCAAACUGCUCAGUAACACAUGAUCAACUUACCCUAUAGAGGAAAAUAACCUCGGGAAACUGAGGAUAAUGUUCCAUAGUUGAAUUGGCUUGGAAAAGUUUUUCAAUAAAAGGGAUAAGGAAAAUGGUUCUUAUCUGCUAUAGGAUAGGAUCGUGCUCGAUUAUGGUUGUUGGUGAGGUAAAGGCUCACCAAGCCGAUAAUCGAUAGGGGCCGUGAGAGCGGGAGCCCCGAGAUGGGUACUGAGACAACGACCCAGGCCUUACGAGGCGCAGCAGGCGCGAAACCUCCGCAAUACACGAAAGUGUGACGGGGUUACCCAAAGUGUUCUAUUUAGAACUGUGGUAGGUGAGUAAUGUUCCCUACUAGAAAGGAGAGGGCAAGGCUGGUGCCAGCCGCCGCGGUAAAACCAGCUCUUCAAGUGGUCGGGAUAAUUAUUGGGCUUAAAGUGUCCGUAGCCGGUUUAGUAAGUUCCUGGUAAAAUCGGGUAGCUUAACUAUCUAUAUGCUAGGAAUACUGCUAUACUAGAGGGCGGGAGAGGUCUGAGGUACUACAGGGGUAGGGGUGAAAUCUUAUAAUCCCUGUAGGACCACCAGUGGCGAAGGCGUCAGACUGGAACGCGCCUGACGGUGAGGGACGAAAGCCAGGGGAGCGAACCGGAUUAGAUACCCGGGUAGUCCUGGCCGUAAACGAUGCAUACUAGGUGAUGGCACGGCCAUGAGCCGUGUCAGUGCCGUAGGGAAACCGUUAAAUGUGCCGCCUGGGAAGUACGGUCGCAAGGCUAAAACUUAAAGGAAUUGGCGGGGGACCACCACAAGGGGUGAAGCCUGCGGUUCAAUUGGAUUCAACGCCGGA
rnacentral:rRNA from 1 species